GAUUAUCAGCUUUGAAACCAGUUCAUUCGCGACCACACGUAAGGUAAAAGAGGUCAAUGAGGAAGAACCCACUAAGACCUCAUUCAACUGGCAAUUUCAGACGCUCAACGAACUUCAUAUAUUGUGAGUGACACGAUGCAGAUUUCGACGCGGCUAUUUCCCAUUAUCGGCAAGGACAACCGACAUAGCGUUUAAUUCGGAAACCUGAGGUAAGUGAAAUAAGUAAGCACGCAGC